AUGCAUGUGGCAACACCAGGGCGCAUUGUUUUGGUCAAAGCAGUCCUCACGGCCAUUGCUAUAUACCACCUCACACCUCUUGACCUCCCGGUUGAAGUUAGGAAAAAGAUUGAUAGUCUGAGGCGCGGCUAUCUAUGGGCGGGUUGCGAUACGGUGACGGGAGGCAAAUGUAAAGUUAACUGGAACCUUGUGUGCAAGCCCAAGAUCUAUGGGGGGCUGGGUGUGUUAGACUUGGAAAAGUUUGCUUCUGCUCUGCGUCUUCGUUGGCUUUGGUUCGAAUGA
rnacentral:rRNA from 1 species